UAGGAAAUCUUUUAGUAGAGAUGCAGUUCACCUGCCACUACCAGUUGUUUCCAGAUGGAUUUGUACAAUAAUCUUUGAGAGAGAGAUUUGAGAACACUAGAUGAAAAUGUCUGAACAUCUCAUUUUGGCUCCAAAAACCUGUCCCUGAAGACUCUCUGGCAAAUAAAAGAUACAGGUGCAGUAGAUAGCAGUGAAGGUGACUGCUAGUUUCAUCAAUCACUUUGCCUUUCUUUAAGUUGAUACAUAAUGGAUCCCUUCAAUCAGCUUCCUUGUUCUUUGUCACUUGUUUAGGAAAAAGAAAAAGGUAGAAAGGCUGGGCUUUAAAGUCAAGGUUACAAACCUUAUUUACACAUGAUAGGAAGAUGUCAGUAUGAGCAGGGGCGCUUCAUAAAAUGUUGAGUUUUGCCAAUGUGUGAUAAUAUGCAGUUUGAAGCUCCCUUCAUACAGACCUUGAGUAGUGAUGGUGCUUGUCAAAGCAGUGAGUUCAAACAGGAGCUUGGAAUUAAGAUGUUCAGUGACAGUCGAAACACAUCCCAGAAAAAGUGAUAAUGCACUUUAUUAGCUGAGGACAUAAUUAGUGAUAUUCAGUGCCAAACUUUGUUUAGUAAAUUGAAAGAAAUAGAUUGUUUAUAUACAGGUUCCUGGACUAUUUAGGCAGUGCUUUCCUUGUGAUUUCAUAAUUUCAUAUACAAAAUAUUAUGCAAAUCAACCCUCUGUCCUGCCUGAAAAAAGCAAAACUCUACAGUGCCCUGUCUUUUCUUCCACAACAAACUCACUGCACCCUCCUUACCUUUUUCUGAAAGUGUAAGAUAUGUGCCCUUAAGUCAUUGUGGUUUGUGAGUACAGUGGUACCUCGGUUUAUGAACACAAUUGGUUCCGGAAGUCUGUUCAUAAACUGAAGCGAACUUUCCCAUUGAAAGUAAUGGAAAGUGGAUUAAUCCGUUCCAGACGGGUCCGCAGAUUACUCAACCUGAAGCGUACUUAACCCGAAGCAUGGGUGUAAUUGGUUCUGGAAGUCUGUUCAUAAACUGAAGUGUUCAUAAACUGAAGUGAACUCUCCCAUUGAGAGUAAUGGAAAGUGAAUUAAUCCGGUCCAGAUGGGUCCGCGGCGUUCGUAACCCGAAAAUUCGUAAACCGAGGUGUUCAUAAACUGAGGUUCCACUGUAUUUAUAAAAUAAGUUUAAGAAACUUCCUUGCCACACUUUCGUUACAUUUUGGUUAGUCCUGAUAAAGGCAUUGUCCAACUAUGGAUUUUGGAGUUGAGGCUUUGCGGGUGGGGAGUGUUGGACCAGUAUGGCAGCGUAGCACAUGCUGUGCUAAAUGAGUAAAUUGAUUUGGAAAUGUGCAGCCCAUAAUGUGUUUUGAAUUCCCUACCUGAAAUGUAUAAAUAUUCCUAAAGCUUUCAUAACUUAUACAACAUGUGUUCAUAAAAUACUCUUAACGGUUGUUGAACAAAACACGUUUUACAUUAGGGUUGUUUUUUGUAAAAUCAGUAAGUAAAUCAGGAUAAUUACCUUUUUUUGCUCUAACCAUUUUUCCUUAACACCCCUGGGGUUGUCUAUACAUGCCAUCACAUUUGCCUUGCAAAAUAUUAUUACAUCCUCAGUGAGUGUCAAGAAAAAUCCUGGAAAGGGAGUUAGGCAUGGACAAUGGACAUGUAUGAUUGGGACCAAGAGAUUUUGUUCUACCAAAAUUAAGAGCCUCUUGCUAGUGCAAGGACCUUUCCCUUGAGUAUGUGAGCUUCAGGUGGAGGGAAUUUGUAAGGGUGGUGAGCAUAGUGCAGGCCUCUCUGAACAUUUUUGAUGAUCUGUUUUUGUCUUGGGGGAGUCACUUUCUGUUCCCAAUUAUUGGUUGACAUUGAGGGGUCACUUAUCCAUCCACACAGAUCAGCUUCUCCUUCUUGGGCUGUAGAGUGCAGUCCUUACAAUUUUGGGUACUUUCUAGUAAUAGCUUUCAUGGAACAUGGAACAUGGAAGCUAUCCCAACAUGAUUGAGAUCUUACAUGCCUUCAAAGGAAAGCCCAGAAAAUAUAGUUCCAUGGUGAGCAACUUCAUAUAAAAUAGGCAUGUGCAAUGCACUUGCAUUUCCUGCCCCACCUGCAUCUCUGCCAUAUGUGAAGUCACUCUUUGGAAAUGCACUUUCCCUUUUCAGAAACAAAUGUUAACAUCCCCCCAAAGCAAAAAUAGACAAAAAUGACAUCCCCCCCCUAAAGCAAAAAUAGACACAAAUGACACAGAAGAUGCUGGUCUCUGUUUAUGAAACAACCUCCACAUUUCUUAGCAGAGAAUUAGGAAGGUCUGUCAAGCUAGAAGGCAGGGCAGCAGAGGGAUCAGUUCAUUAUGAGUACAUGCAAGUCCUGCAUUACAAGUGCUUGCUAUGCAAGAAUUCACUUGUCCAACACAAGGAUUUAAUACCCAAACCUUGAUAUAUACCCAAACCUUGAUAUAUGCACCACAGAUUCCGUGGUUUGGAAAUGCAUUCAGUUUUACCCAUGUGACUCAAUGGAAGUUAUUGGCUUGUUAUACGAAUGGAGAUCAUUGACUAAUUAUGCAAAUGGUCACCUAACAAAUGAUUUCCAGAAAACCCAUGGUGUUUAUAAAGCGAGACCUGCAGGUAGUAGUAUGUAGGUCCGGAAUUCACAUGCUUUGCCCCCUGCUGUCCUUGCAAGGGAAAUUCUGUUUGCUCUAUCCUAUAAAAGAAAGGCUUUGGUUUUGUGCUGGCUGUUAUGACUUAUUUUCACCCAAUUAUUCACAUAAAGAUUUUUUGAGUCCUGAAUAGCCAAGUGUUGCCCCUCACCUGGUGCGCCCUGCUCCACCACUCUCCCUCAUUUUGCUUUCUCCUAUUCUUCUAUGUGAUAAAGGAGUUGCAACUACCACUCAUUUGAUACUCGCUGUAUCAAUAAAUAUUUUAUUUUUAUUUUAUUUUAUUUUUGGACAGUUCACUAAUCUUGUUUUGCAUACUUCAGCAAAUAUUGCUGCAUGAUAUGUGUAAUGGCAUCUGUACAUACAGUAUGUAGUGUAUAGGGAGAGUUGUCAGACACUCACAGAAACCUGAGGGAAGCUGGUAAGAUUUUAUUUUGAGGACCUGCUCUUUGUGCCCCAACCUUUGGAGGGGUACUUCACAGCUACUAGGGGUGGAGCCUUCUCUGUAGUGGCAGCUCUGCUUCGGGAUGCCAUUUUCCAGAACAAUUUGGCAGGUCCCAAUAAUUUUCACAUUUAGGUGCAUGGCAAAAACUUUUGGAAGAGUUCAACAUAAUUUAAUUUCUAUAUUGCUUUUACUUACAACAAGGUAAAAAAAAUGGAGCACUUCUAAAAAAAGUUAUUUGCAAGUGGACAACUUUGUAAGUUAAUGACUGGUUCAGCAAAGUACUUAAGCAUAUUUUUAAAACUAGAGCAUAUAUCUAGUCUCUGUGAACUCAACUGUUUCAAAGGGAAUCUGUGGCAUAUGACAGACCUUAAUAUUCAUGAGGAGUACUCAUAUUUCAAAGCACUCUAAUGGCACAAGCCACAUUCGCAUUACUGCACCUCACAUUUCCAGGGCACUUGGAGGAUUUGGCUUUAUGAAGUAUGUCAAUGUAAAGCUUCCAGCUACAUCUUGUAAAAACCAGUCAUAACGUUUCAGAGAAAUGUGGUGAAUCAUAUUUCACUCUUGUACUUGAAAUAUGGUAUUUUAAGAACUACAUGCACUGUUUUAACAAAAUAAUUUAAUUACUGACGCAUGAAAAUAAAUUGUAGGAAUUCUCUGUCAUGAAGAUCUGGAUUCUGCCCUUUUCCCAAGGGAUCAUGGAGGGCAUUUUUUUUAUUUUAUUCUGAGUUCUCAUUGGCCUCAAAUGAUAAGGAAUAGGGUGAGCUGUUGGCAAAAGAGUUGAAAGCACCACCCCUGAAGUGUAGGCUUCUUCAGUCAUAAUUUUUUCCUGCUGCAGUGGCCAAAGCAAGGAGAGUCCUGGAACUCCCUGAGGAACAACCCAUGGAAACUGAGGCAAAAGCUACAGCAGCAACCAAAGGAGCCAAAUCUGCCUUUCUGGAUGGACAGCCAUGUCUGGCUACUCUGCAUUUCCCAGAUUCAUUCCAAAAGCUGUAAAACACUGAGCUGACAAAACUGGAAAAACACAACUAUCAUGCAAGCUGGUGAAUAGACACUACCUCUUCCUAACUAACAUUAUGGGCCCAUUGGCUAGCCUAAUCGUGGGUGUGCCAGUAGCAACUUUAUCCUCAACUGUGAUUAUCCUGUCUGAAAGCAAAGGAGGACAGAGGAAUGCUUGUGAAAAGUGAGUAGAGGCGGUGCCACUCGGAUUUUGAGGCAGAAGCGGUGGCCUUCAGAGCAUCAGCAACCACAUUAGUUACAGCUAGAAUAAGUGGGCCAAUGAUCUCACCUCCAGGGGGGAUGUACCCAAACACAGCGUGGAUGGCCUAAAGAAGCUCUCCAUUGUGCCUGCUUUCCAAGCAAACAUGACCAGGGAUCUCAUGCAGUUCCACGCAAGAGCAGUGAUAGUGAGCAUCCUGGCAAGAUGUAAUAUCUGGCUCUGCAACUGGGAUGUAGAUGCAUAAUCCCAAGGGCACCUGGCAAAUUCCCCAUUCAAUGGGGGAAAGCUUUAUGGGGACCCGCUCAAAAAAGUCCUUUUUGAGAUAUGGGAUAAACAAAAGAUGCCACCUGUCAAGAAGGAUGAACUCGAAGAUAAACAACAGCAGUCCUUUUGUCUGCGACGACAAUAUAAUAGACCACACUCUUCAACAGGCUAUAGAUCCAGAUGAUGAUGAUGAAGAAGAAAUGUUUGGAUUUGAUAUCCCACUUUAUCACUACGCAGUCUCAAAGCGCUAACAUUCUCUUUUCCCUUCCUCCCCCACAACAAACACUCUGUGAGGUGAAUGGGGCUGAGAGACUUCAAAGAAGUGCGACUAGCCCAAGGUCACCCAGCAGCUGCAUGUGGAGGAGCGGAGACGCGAACCGUCUACCGCUCUUAACCACUACACCACACUGGCACAGAUGAGAUUGCACUGAAAGAUCCAGUGGUUCCACAAUGCCUCAUCAAUGUCCCAAUUCCAAUCCUGGAAUUGGGGGAAGGUGCAGUGUGGGGAUCAAUGGAAAUAAAAGAUCCUCUCCUUGUGCAAAAGUGAAAAUGUCUCUGCUUGUGCAGGAGAUUUAUUGGAUUCAAGCUGUUGCUUUUAGAUACUGUAUAUAUUUUUGUUAUUUAGUCGCGUCCGUCUCUUCAUGACCCCAUGGACCAGAGCACGCCAGGCACUCCUGUCUUCCACUGUCUCCCGCAGUUUGGUCAAACUCAUGUUGGUAGCUUCGAGAACACUGUCCAACCAUCUCGUCCUCUGUCGUCCCCUUCUUGUGCCCUCAAUCUUUCCCAACAUCAGGGUCUUUUCCAGGGAGUCUUCUCAUGAGCUGGCCAAAGCCUUGGAGCCUCAGCUUCAUGACCUUUCCUUCCAGUGAGCACUCGGGGCUGCCUUCAGAAGGGAUAGGUUUGAUCUUCUUGCAGUCCAUGGGACUCUGAAGAGUCUCCUCCAGCACCAUAAUUCAAAAGCAUCAAUUCUUUGAUGAUCAGCCUUCUUCAUGGUCCAGCUCUCACAUACAUCACUACUGGGGAAACCAAAGCUUUUAACUAUAUGGACCUUUGUCUGCAAGGUUAUGUCUCUGCUUUUUAAGAUGCUUUAUCUGUUUUAGAACAUUCAGUACUUUUAUUUGCUUACAAUUUGUAAUAAUUAAUGGCUGAAAACAGUUACUGUUAAUAUUUUUCCAUUUGAUUUUCUUCCAUAUGGCAACUUUUCCCUUAAUGCCACAAGCUUGUCUUUCUUUAAACUCUAAAUUAAUCUGAUGCCCCUUCCCUUCUCCUCUUAAAUUUCAGAGUUACUGGAGCAUACCCACAUAGUAUACGUAGGAGGAAAUAGCUCAUAGCUUAGUCAUUUUUGGAUUAUGUCUUGGAUAGAAGUGCCAUUGAAAAGUUACUUCCAAAAAUAGAUUAAAUUAUUCAGUCCCUCACUGUUAACAAAACAUAAUUUUAAAGAUUCCUUUGAUUGUAGACAAUAGACAUUCAUUGAACAAAAUGUAUAUUUCAUCCAGACAAGUGUCUUUUGUUAUAUGUGUUGAAUCUGAUCAAUAGAAGGUUCUUCAAGAAAUAUUCAGCAGUGGCGUUAAAAGUUUUACAGUUUUAAUCUUAAAGACGCCACCACCACCACCCCAGGAAGCAGACAUGCCAUGUCAUAAAAUAACUAUUAGUGAUUAGUUUGUAUCAUAUAAAUCGUAACUUGAGUUGAUAAUAUGGUCCAUUACCAGCUAACUGCACAGAGUAUUUUUCAUUUUACACUCUUCAGUUACUUUUUAGUGAAGUGUUGAAAAUAUGAAGCUUUUUUCCUUUCUAAAAUUGCACGCUGUCUGUUAUUAGGGAGAUAACAGCUCUUAUAAAUGUUUCAGUAAGCACUAAGUAGACAGUUAUGUGCACUCUCAUUCCACGCUUAUUUGCUUACUGUAAUAAACUGAUAAAAUAUGUGUGGUUUGUCUUCCUGUAUCUAUAUGCACACAGAUUUCCUUUAGAAAUAAUGUUGUGUCUGCAGAAUUGAUUGGUUAUUUUCAUAAAACAUCUAAAAGUACAUAGAUGACUUUCUUAAAUGUAUGCCAAUAUGAUUUGUAGAGGUUUAUCAUACUGUUCCUAAAUGCAUGUUAACUCUUUAGGGGAGGCUUCAUUUAAACAUAUUUACAACAUUUGUAUUGAAUCAGCCUACAUAGAACAAUUCCACCCAGUCUUGAUGCUAUUUUGAGUUUCUUCAGUUGUAUAGCUCAUGCUCCAGUAAUGAUUUUUUAUUAUUUCAUUCAGACAGCUGACGGGUUAAAAUACUUUUUGACCUGUGAUACUUACAUAUAAUGUCAAGCUUGGGAGAGGGUAAGCAGCAAAAAGAAUUCUACUUGUUAGGUGCCAAUGCCUUUAUUUGUUUUUUGGUAAGAUUUCUUAUCCACCCUUCACCAUAAGGCAGUAGGGCAGAUUACAACAAUAUAAUAUGCAGUUAUAAAAGAAAAUGGUUCCAGCCAAAACAGAACAGUAAAAAUUCAGCAAAAUAGGUUGGUACCAAAUGUUCACGCUCUGACUCAAGCUGUGGUCAUAAACAGCAACAUGAAACAAGGUUCUACAAUAUGGAUUUAUUGGAUUUGGAAGGAUAUGACAACAGAUUUGGGUGGCAUUCUUAUCUUUGGUAUGACAAAGUAAAAGUUCAUAAAGGGUUUCUAAACCAUGUUAUAAGAAAGCCAAUCUAUGAAGUAUGGGAUAGAUAUAAAAAUUUGUUAGAACGAAAAACACCAUGGUGGCUGUCGCCUACAGAGGUAUUGACUGUUAAAAAAUUAAAUAUGAAGGAAAGAUGGGCUACUUAUGGUGAGAUUUUGAUGGAAACCAAAAAGGGAGUAAAACUCAAACCAUAUGAGCAAAAUGAAUUUGUGUUUACGAGUUGGUUGCAAUAUCAUCAAGUAAAUGACUUAUUUAAUGGAGAUAAAAGAAAUACUGGUUUUGGAAAUAAAAAAAAUCGAGAUUUCAAACGGAAUUGUUGGAAGGCAAAGCAAAAUUGUUGUCAAAAAUGUGUCAUUUGUUGUUAGAAUGGUAUACAAAAGAUGAGGAGACAAAAGAAGUUAUGAUAAAAUGGGCUAUUGACUUUGGGCAUAAUAUUGAAUACGAAUCUUGGUCAAAAUUGUGGAAUGAAACUUUAAAAUUUACCGCUUGUAUGGCCUUAAAAGAGAAUGUAAUGAAAAUGAUGUAUAGGUGGUACUUAACACCGAUGAAAUUGCCCAAAAUGAAGAACAAACUAUGCUGGAAGUGUGGAGAGAAAGAUGGAGAUUUUUUUUAUCAUAUGUGAUGGGAAUGUGAUAAUGUAAAAGUAUUUUGGGAAUUGGUCUACAAUGAACUAAAAAAGAUGUUUAGAUAUACCUUCCC